rnacentral:rRNA from 1 species
GGGGAAUAUUGGACAAUGGGGGCAACCCUGAUCCAGCAAUGCCGCGUGAGUGAUGAAGGCCUUAGGGUUGUAAAGCUCUUUUGGCGGGGACGAUGAUGACGGUACCCGCAGAAUAAGCCCCGGCUAACUUCGUGCCAGCAGCCGCGGUAAUACGAAGGGGGCAAGCGUUGUUCGGAAUUACUGGGCGUAAAGGGCGCGUAGGCGGCUUAUCAAGUCAGGCGUGAAAUUCCCGGGCUCAACCUGGGGGCUGCGCUUGAUACUGGUUGGCUUGAAUACGGGAGAGGAUAGUGGAAUUCCCAGUGUAGAGGUGAAAUUCGUAGAUAUUGGGAAGAACACCAGUGGCGAAGGCGGCUAUCUGGCCCGUUAUUGACGCUGAGGCGCGAAAGCGUGGGGAGCGAAACAG